rnacentral:rRNA from 2 species
UUUAUCGGAGAGUUUGAUCCUGGCUCAGGACGAACGCUGGCGGCGUGCCUAAUACAUGCAAGUCGAGCGGACAGAUGGGAGCUUGCUCCCUGAUGUUAGCGGCGGACGGGUGAGUAACACGUGGGUAACCUGCCUGUAAGACUGGGAUAACUCCGGGAAACCGGGGCUAAUACCGGAUGGUUGUUUGAACCGCAUGGUUCAGACAUAAAAGGUGGCUUCGGCUACCACUUACAGAUGGACCCGCGGCGCAUUAGCUAGUUGGUGAGGUAACGGCUCACCAAGGCGACGAUGCGUAGCCGACCUGAGAGGGUGAUCGGCCACACUGGGACUGAGACACGGCCCAGACUCCUACGGGAGGCAGCAGUAGGGAAUCUUCCGCAAUGGACGAAAGUCUGACGGAGCAACGCCGCGUGAGUGAUGAAGGUUUUCGGAUCGUAAAGCUCUGUUGUUAGGGAAGAACAAGUGCCGUUC